GCCGGGUGUAGUGGUGUGCACCUGUAAUCCCAGCUACUCGGGAGGCUGAGGCAGGAGGAUCGCUUGAACCUGGGAGGCAGAGGUUGCAGUGAGCCAGGAUGGUGCCACUGUGCUCCAGCCUGGGUGACAGAGCAAGACUCUGUCUCAA
rnacentral:SRP_RNA from 1 species